UACGUAGGGUGCAAGCGUUGUCCGGAAUUAUUGGGCGUAAAGAGCUCGUAGGCGGUCUGUCGCGUCUGCUGUGAAAACUCGGGGCUUAACCCCGGGCCUGCAGUGGGUACGGGCAGACUAGAGUGCGGUAGGGGAGACUGGAAUUCCGUGGUGUAGCGGUGAAAUGCGCAGAUAUCAGGAGGAACACCGGUGGCGAAGGCGGGGUCUCUGGGCCGUAACUGACGCUGGAGGAGCGAAAAGCGUGGGGAGCAACAGG
rnacentral:rRNA from 1 species